rnacentral:rRNA from 1 species
AGCGGACCGCCUGGGGAGUACGGCCGCAAGGCUAAAACUCAAAGGAAUUGACGGGGACCCGCACAACCGGUGGAGCGUGUGGUUCAAUUCGAGACAAGACGAAAAACCUCACCAGGGCUCGACAUAAUACCGUACAUUUCCCUAGAAAUAGGGAGAAAUCCGCAAGGAUGGUAUUACAGGUGCUGCAUGGCUGUCGUCAGCUCGUGCCGUGAGGUGUUCCCUUAAGUGGGGAAACGAGCGCAACCCCCGUCCAAUGUUGAAUAUUCAUUGGAGACGGUCCCGGUUUUACCGGGAAGGAAGGAGGGGAAGACGUCAAGUCAGCACGGCCCUUAUGCCCUGGGCUACACACACACUACAAUGGCGAAAAACAACGGGCUGCAAGCCGGUAACGGCUAGCUAAUCCCUUAAAUUUCG